AUGGGGGGUCAUGAUCUGCUGCGGAUUUUGGUCACUGUGCUGUUCGUGUUGGCUUAUGUGGUGGUUUUGGCAGUAAACGCUCUGGCUGGUUCGGGGAAAGGUCCAUUCUUAAGAAGUACCGGUAAUGUGUCAGGGCUGUAUGAGACGGAGAUCACCCCUGCUGGUUGGGCCUUCUCCAUAUGGGGAUUCCUCUACACCUGGCUCCUCCUCAUGAACAUAUAUAUUGUCACCUGGUUCUGUAGACGGACCUCAACUGGAUGGAUGUAUUGCAGUCCUGCUAUUCUUCCUUAUGGGUUUUUUAUCUCCUGGGUGGUGAACAUGAUUCUGAACUGCGCCUGGCUCCUCCUGUGGGACAGAGAGUUAAUGAUCCCAGCGCUUGUAGUGUUGGCUCUGAUUGCGUUUACCAACUACUUCAUCAUCUACUUCUCCUGUGUUGGCCUGCAAGCGCAUGGAGCCAGGCUCAAACAGAACCACCCCGCUGACCUCUGCUGCAUCCGUGUUCUGGUUCAGAAUGGUAUUGCUGCCUAUGCCACAUGGACUACAAUAGCCACGCUCCUCAACUUGGCCGUGGUGCUUGGUCUUGGAUCAGUGUCGCCAACAAAUGCUGGCACUGUUUCUCUGUGCCUUCUCCUGCUAGAAGUGAUUGUGUGGUUUGCUGUGGAGAACUUUGUGGUGGAGAAGCAUGUCCGCUACAUUCUGAGUGUUUACCCCGUCGUCAUCUACGCUCUGAUUGGAAGCUUGAGCAGACACUACGACCCUGCAGCUCCAGGCAGGAACGCAGUCUUUACAGCUGUUCUCCUGUCUCUGGCCUGUAUCUUGUUCAUUGCGCGUGUGGUGCUGGUGAUUUGGAGACACCGUACUCAGCCUCUGUUCCAGGACGGGGUAGCUGAGGGGCUGAUGAGACCUGUCAGCACUACAGACAAGUAGCAGCACAGGGUAUACUGUACAUUACUCUAAACAUGAAGCACCACUCCACUUGCCAAAGUAUUUACUGCGGAAUGUGUUCAAAAUAUACAUGUUUUUUUUUUGACUGGUCAAAUCAUACAGUAUAUCAGUGCCCACCCACACACUCAUACACUAACACCACCAAACAGCUCCAACAGUUAAACAACACCUAAAGAAAACCUCACGUCUCCAUGUAUUACUCCACCACAUACAGGUAACCUAGCAACGAUGCAGCGCUUACAAGCCAAACAGCACAGCUACAAACAGAGCAGCAAUGGAAUUAUUUUAUCUUGUGGAGUGUUUAAAGCCUAACAGCUCGUCUUUUCUCAUCCUUUUUAACUCAAUCUAUCUAAUCUAUCAAUAAACAGUUAUAAUGGAACUGUGCUAUAAUCGCA
rnacentral:lncRNA from 1 species